GUGGGAGUGACAAGAGUUAAAUAGGAAGGGGGUGAUGGCUGUAGUGUUUUUUUUUUUUUUUUUCUAUCCCUUCCUGUUUGUAGCUGGGAUGUGUUCCCCCAGUUGAGUAGCUAUGUGCUGGAAAGCUGAGAUAUUUCUCUGUAACACAUUGACAGGUUAGGUGCAAUCCUUCAUAUUGUCUCUGGAGAUGAUGCUGGUUCCCUGCCCUUUGCUGAUGUGAGAGCUGUGGGGAGGUGGCUGUCCAGGGCUGAGCUGGCAGGAAAACACAGCCCUCUCCAAGGUCCCCAGCAGAGCAGGGUGGACAGCAGCACGGUGUUCGACAGAGACCUGAGAGCCUUGAUGUGCCGCUGGCAGAUUUAUGCCUCGUUGAAACCCACCUCUUAUUGCCUCUGAGUUGAUUGGGAGGAAGGAAUCUUGUUCGCUGGAAAAGAAACCCACUGCAAUGUGCCAUGCAUGCCAAGUCAGGGUGGGAGCUUAAAAGAAGAAUUUGGAGCCCUGACCUCUUUUCCUCGUCCGCUGCUCAUCUUCUGUCACUGUGUCAGCUGGGACAGCCUGUCAGGAAGCUUCAUACACUUUGGGUCAGACGCUCUUUCCCUGAAGAGGAGAAGAAUAUUUAUAGCCAGGAAGGGCUGUAAUGGGGAGAUCUCUAGGCUGCUCUACCUGUCAGAUAAGGUUUCUUAUGGACCCGAUGGUAACAGCCCACGUGCAGUCUGCUACAACAGAAGAGAAGGUGGGGUCUGGGUUUGGGGCACCAGGGCGUUCCCAGCCCAGGUAAUUUGGCUGAGGUCCUGGAAAGUGGAGGUAGGCUGGCACUUUGGGGAACAUACUACCUCUGUGGCUUGCUGUGCUUUGUUGCCCUUCUGAAAUUUGGGGAGUGCCGGGUCACUACUAGAGGGAUUGACCCCGGGGGUGGCCCUGCUGCAAGUUCUCACGAUCCCUGCGAUGGAAAGUGACAAAUCCCAUACACUGAGAGCCCUCUGACGUAGUGUUCCUGCCAUCUGCCCGCCCCGGCGGAUGCUAACAAGCUAGUAGAUCUAGACCCGCUGUGCCUUGAUACAAAGAUUUAUUUUUAGGGCUUUGAUAUUUAGAAUGAUCUGUUAUAAUUUCAUGCUUAAAUAGCACUAAAUAAUGUUCCCUGUUUGCACAGUGUAAUUGGAAGAGGUGAAUAAACCAAACAAACCGGCGAUGACUGAGCUUCCUUAGUAUUUUCAAACUGAAACAAACAGUAAAAAACAAGGGCUUGGCCAA